GGCAGUGUAGCACAGCGGUUAAGGAGCACGACUCUUAACCGAGAGGUUGCCGGUUCGAUUCCCUGCUGGGGCACUGCUG